rnacentral:rRNA from 1 species
AUGAACGCUGGCGGCAUGCUUAACACAUGCCAGUCGGACGGGAAGUGGUGUUUCCAGUGGCGGACGGGUGGGUAACGCGUAAGAACCUGCCCUUGGGAGGGGAACAACAGCUUGAAACGGCUGCUAAUACCCCGUAGGCUGAGGCGCAAAAGGAGGAAUCCGCCUGAGGAGGGGCUCGCGUCUGAUUAGCUAGUUGGUGAUGCAAUAGAUUAUUAAGGCGAUUAUGAGUAGUUGGUGCAAGAUGACGAUCAGCAAUAUUGGUACUGAGAGACGGCCCCGCCUCCGACGGGAAACAGUAGGGAAUAAUGUACAACAAUGGGCGACAUGAUGAAGCAGCAAUGCGUCCGGGAUGUAGAACUUCUAAGUGUAGUAAACUUCAUCUUCCAAAGAAGAAUCAAUGACGGUAACUGGUAAAUAAGCACCGGCUAACUACGUG